CAACUUACCUGGCAGGGGAGAUACCAUGAUCACAAAGCUGGUUUUCCCAGGGCAAGGCUUAUCCAUUGCACUCUGGAUGUGCUGACCUCUGCGAUUUCCCCAAAUGUGGGAAACUCGACUGCAUAAUUUGUGGUAGUGGGGGACUGUGUUCGUGCUUUCCCCUG
rnacentral:snRNA from 1 species